UAAAGCGACUAACAGUAAUUUCAACCAAUGCAAAUAAUACACACUUGACCACUAACACACACUGCCAACCCCAAAUGUUGAGUGUGGAAGUAAUUGUCUGGUCACUGUUUGCAACGGGACGGCGCCCCUGCCUGCCUGGCGAGCCGCUGCACCUCAGAUGUUUCCUGGGACUGGGUGGCGCGUGGACAAGUGUGUGCCUUGACUCGUGUGUGGGGGUGACUGUGGUGAUUAGUGACUCUCUGCUGAUUAAUUACUGGUGGUACUCUUAUUCUGCGUAUCUCAGGACAUCAGUAACUUAGCUGUGUGUGUGUGUCGCAAAAUGACAUACACGUAAUCCACUACAUCAUUGAAGUGUCCUUAACUACGCUUCAAAACAACUGACCCCUCGGAGUAACGAGGUGGUGUCGUCUCUCAUUAGCACAUUAGAGCCACGCGUCUCCUCUCCGACCAGUCCUCGCCCCUGGAGUUCUCGGCGCCCCGCUACUGUGCCGCCCUGCCCGAGGACAGCCCCUUGGCGGCCGUGGUAGGCACCCUCACCGCCACACACACGCAUGGCGCUGAGAUCAAGUACAGCAUCACGGGCGGCAACGUUGGGGGCCUCUUCACCAUCGACCAGCGCUCCGGCACCGUUACGCUGGCCGUCGCCCUGGACCACGAGCUCACUCACCAGCACCAGUUGGAGGUCACGGCGGAGGCAGGAGGAGCUGCAGCCCGCGCCCAGCUGGUGGUGCAGGUCGGGGACGUCAAUGACAACGCCCCUGAGUUCGUACGUCCCGCCCCGCGCAUCACGGUUAUUGAGGAGGAUGACAGGGACUUGCCCGCCACUAUUGCCAGAGAGGACGAACCACUCCAAUGGACGAGCUGGUCGUCACGCGAAGGCAGCACCGCCAAGCAACCAUAGGGAUAGAGGACUCAGCCGCCGCACUGAAGAACGUGGAGAGAGAAGCGAUUUGUCCACUCAC